rnacentral:rRNA from 1 species
AGCAGCCGCGGUAAUUCCAGCUCCAAUAGCGUAUAUUAAAGUUGUUGCAGUUAAAAAGCUCGUAGUUGAAUUUCGGGAUCAAUAUGUUGGUCGUGCCUCGGUACGUACUAGCUUAUUGGUUUCUCCUUUCUGAAGAACCAUGAUGUCAUUUAUUUGGUGUCGUGGGGAAUCAGGACUGCUACUUUGAAAAAUUAGAGUGUUUAAAGCAGGCUCACGCUUGAAUACAUUAGCAUGGAAUAAUGAAAUAGGACGUUUGAUUCUAUUUUGUUGGUUUCUAGGAUCGACGUAAUGAUUAAUAGGGAUAGUUGGGGGCAUUAGUAUUCAAUUGCCAGAGGUGAAAUUCUUGGAUUUAUUGAAGACUAACUACUGCGAAAGCAUUUGCCAAGGAUGUUUUCAUUAAUCAAGAACGAAAGUUAGGGGAUCGAAGACGAUCAGAUACCGUCGUAGUCUUAACCAUAAACUAUGCCGACUAGGGAUCGGAUGAUGUUAAUUUUUAAUGACUCAUUCGGCGCCUUAAC